rnacentral:rRNA from 1 species
GACGAACGCUGGCGGCGUGCCUAAUACAUGCCAGUAGAACGCUGAAGAGAGGAGCUUACUCUCCUUGGAUGAGUUGCGAACGGGUGAGUAACGCGUAGGUAACCUGCCUUGUAGCGGGGGAUAACUAUUGGAAACGAUAGCUAAUACCGCAUAACAAUGGAUGACACAUGUCAUUUAUUUGAAAGGGGCAAUUGCUCCACUACAAGAUGGACCUGCGUUGUAUUAGCUAGUAGGUGAGGUAAUGGCUCACCUAGGCGACGAUACAUAGCCGACCUGAGAGGGUGAUCGGCCACACUGGGACUGAGACACGGCCCAGACUCCUACGGGAGGCAGCAGUAGGGAAUCUUCGGCAAUGGGGGCAACCCUGACCGAGCAACGCCGCGUGAGUGAAGAAGGUUUUCGGAUCGUAAAGCUCUGUUGUAAGUCAAGAACGGGUGUGAGAGUGGAAAGUUCACACUGUGACGGUAGCUUACCAGAAAGGGACGGCUAACUACGUG